rnacentral:rRNA from 1 species
CCUACGGGGGGCAGCAGUGGGGAAUAUUGCGCAAUGGGCGAAAGCCUGACGCAGCGACGCCGCGUGAGGGAUGAAGGUCUUCGGAUCGUAAACCUCUGUCAGCAGGGAAGAACGGUCACUGUGCUAAUCAGCAGUGAAUUGACGGUACCUGCAAAGGAAGCACCGGCUAACUCCGUGCCAGCAGCCGCGGUAAUACGGAGGGUGCGAGCGUUAAUCGGAAUUACUGGGCGUAAAGCGCUCGUAGGCGGUAUGUCAAGUCAAGGGUGAAAUCCCCGGGCUCAACGUGGGAACUGCCUUUGAUACUGGCAGACUGGAGUGUGUGAGAGGAUAGUGGAAUUCCAGGUGUAGGAGUGAAAUCCGUAGAUAUCUGGAGGAACAUCAGUGGCGAAGGCGACUAUCUGGCACAUAACUGACGCUGAGGAGCGAAAGCGUGGGUAGCAAACAGGAUUAGAUACCCGUGUAGUC